GGCGAGCGGAUCCCUCCGCCGAGAUGGGUCGGGCCCUGGGGUUGCGAAGCAGGAAGUAACAAGACCGCGAAAGCCGCACCAAGUGGCUCAGCCGGCUAGCCAUCGUCUGAGUCACGUCUGAAAAUAGCCACCACACCUUUUCCCGGGAAGCGUUCGCUCCUGCACCGCACGCACCGCAUUGUCUGGGGCUGGCCGCUGGGGACAGGUUUCACACUGCACUUCCCCGUGGCUGUGAAGGGUUUCGCAGUGUGCGGGUAGGUUGGCAGCUGCCAGUGCCCCUGCGAACUCGCUCUCUCUAGGCUCCUGAGUGAUGGCAGGUGGGUUGCUGUAGGAAAACAUCUGGAAAAGGAAGAAACAGCUGACUAUGCUGGUUCUAGGUCCUGUUCCUAGGGAAAAGAGUGACAGUGACAAAACUCCCGUUGAUUGGGAUUGGAACAGAAUCAGGUCCCCAGCGUUGGCAUUUAUGAUUUCUGUCUUAUAAGGCAAGUGGUUUCCAAACUUUAACAACCUGUGAUCCGAUGAAGUGGGCUGUAGCUCACGAAAGCUUAUGCUCAAAUAAAUUUGUUAGUCUCUAA